UACGGGAGGCAGCAGUGGGGAAUAUUGCACAAUGGGCGCAAGCCUGAUGCAGCCAUGCCGCGUGUAUGAAGAAGGCCUUCGGGUUGUAAAGUACUUUCAGUCGUGAGGAAGGUGUUAAGGUUAAUAACCUUAGCAAUUGACGUUAGCGACAGAAGAAGCACCGGCUAACUCCGUGCCAGCAGCCGCGGUAAUACGGAGGGUGCGAGCGUUAAUCGGAAUUACUGGGCGUAAAGGGCACGCAGGCGGUUAAUUAAGUUGGAUGUGAAAUCCCCGGGCUUAACCUGGGAAUGGCAUUCAAGACUGGUUAGCUAGAGUCUUGUAGAGGGGGUUAGAAUUCCAUGUGUAGCGGUGAAAUGCGUAGAGAUGUGGAGGAAUACCGGUGGCGAAGGCGGCCCCUGGACAAAGACUGACGCUCAUGUGCGAAAGCGUGGGGAGCA
rnacentral:rRNA from 1 species